CAGCAGUAGUAGUAACAUCACGGGCUUCUUGACCACCUCCUAAAAUAACGAAGUCUUGGACAGGAGUAAAACUAGAAGUAUUAAGAGGCGUAUCAGUAAGGUAUGUUUUGAUGACUUCAAAAGAAUCAACAUCAAUAGCUUUAGCAGUCGUAUCCUUGCAAGAAGUGAUGAAGUAAGUACGAUCAGGAUAAAACUGAAGAUCAGUAAUAGUAGAACCAGAAUUAUGAACUUGUUUAGAUUCAACGAAUUCUCCGGUUAUAGCAUCG